rnacentral:rRNA from 1 species
CCUACGGGAGGCAGCAGUGGGGAAUCUUGCGCAAUGGGCGAAAGCCUGACGCAGCAACGCCGCGUGCGGGAAGAAGGCUUUCGGGCUGUAAACCGCUUUCAGCAGGAACGAAAAUGACGGUACCUGCAGAAGAGGGAGCGGCCAACUAUGUGCCAGCAGCCGCGGUGAUACAUAGGCUUCAAGCGUUGUCCGGAUUUAUUGGGCGUAAAGAGUUCGUAGGCGGUCGAGUAAGUCGGGUGUGAAAAUUCUGGGCUCAACCCAGAGACGCCACCCGAUACUGCUUGACUUGAGUUCGAUAGGGGAGUGGGGAAUUCCUAGUGUAGCGGUGAAAUGCGCAGAUAUUAGGAGGAACACCGGUGGCGAAGGCGCCACUCUGGAUCGAUACUGACGCUGAGGAACGAAAGCAUGGGUAGCAAACAGGAUUAGAUACCCUGGUAGUCCAUGCCGUAAACGGUGGGCACUAGGUGUGGGUUUCUAUUAACGAAAUCCGCGCCGUCGCUAACGCAUUAAGUGCCCCGCCUGGGGAGUCGGUCGCAAGCUAAACUCAAAGGAAUUGACGG